rnacentral:rRNA from 1 species
CCUACGAGAGGCAGCAGUGGGGAAUAUUGGGCAAUGGAGGAAACUCUGACCCAGCAACGCCGCGUGAAUGAUGAAGGUCUUCGGAUUGUAAAGUUCUUUUCUAAGGGAAGAAGAAAGUGACGGUACCUUAGGAAUAAGCCUCGGCUAACUACGUGCCAGCAGCCGCGGUAAUACGUAGGAGGCAAGCGUUAUCCGGAAUGACUGGGCGUAAAGGGGGCGUAGGUGGUUUGACAAGUUGGUAGCGUAACUCCGGGGCUCAACCUCGGCACUACUACCAAAACUGUUGGACGUGAGUGCAGGAGGGGCAAAUGGAAUUCCUAGUGUAGCGGUGGAAUGCGUAGAUAUUAGGAGGAACACCAGUGGCGAAGGCGAUUUGCUGGACUGUAACUGACACUGAGGCACGAAAGCGUGGGGAGCAAACAGGAUUAGAUACCCUAGUAGUC